CGGGUUGUAAAGCACUUUCAGUAGGGAGGAAGGUAGUGUAGUUAACACCUGCAUUAUUUGACGUUACCUACAGAAGAAGCACCGGCUAACUCCGUGCCAGCAGCCGCGGUAAUACGGAGGGUGCGAGCGUUAAUCGGAAUUACUGGGCGUAAAGCGCAUGCAGGCGGCCUGUUAAGUCAGAUGUGAAAGCCCGGGGCGUUAACCUCGGAAUUGCAUUUGAAACUGGCAGGCUAGAGUCUUGUAGAGGGGGGUAGGAAUUUCAGGUGUAGCGGUGAAAUGCGUAGAGAUCUGAAGGAAUACCAGUGGCGAAGGCGGCCCCCUCGGACAAAGACUGACGCUCAGAUGCGAAAGCGUGGGGAGCAAACAGGAUUAGAUACCCUGGUAG
rnacentral:rRNA from 1 species